AAGUGUAUUUUUCUUCUGUGCAUCCUGGCUUUAUACAAUCUAUCUAGAAUAUAGCUCAAAGUCUGUUUGGAGGAUGACUUUCCUCACCAUUUGCUUUUAGACACAUGGAUGUGAGGAGAUAGUGCAGUGAACAUCAUCACUGUCUUUGGGGAAGAUAUUUUUAUUUAUGCAGGAAUAGGAUGAUACUGGCUGGAAGAUGUUGUUACUCUGAAGCAUAAUUUACUUCAAGGGAGUGGAUCGUGCUCACUGCAAGCUGCAUGCUGAAUGAAGAGAGAUGAAUUUCUAGAAAUGUUUGUGUCUGAAGAUCUAGGUCUUGCCCUUCCUGAACCUCUCCCACCUCCAUGGAAUUUAAGUGCCUUCAGCAGAUCUGGAGGACGACUGGAGU